rnacentral:misc_RNA from 1 species
UCCGGUUUGUCACCGGCAGUCUCCUUAAAGUUCCCGCCAUUACGCGCUGGCAAAUAAGGAUAAGGGUUGCGCUCGUUACGGGACUUAACCCAACAUCUCACGACACGAGCUGACGACAGCCAUGCAGCACCUGUCUCAGAGUUCCCGAAGGCACCCCCGCAUCUCUGCAGGGUUCUCUGGAUGUCAAGACCUGGUAAGGUUCUUCGCGUUGCGUCGAAUUAAACCACAUGCUCCACCGCUUGUGCGGGCCCCCGUCAAUUCAUUUGAGUUUUAAUCUUGCGACCGUACUCCCCAGGCGGUCAACUUAUCGCGUUAGCUGCGCCACCAAGAACACUAGGGUUCCCAACGGCUAGUUGACAUCGUUUACGGCGUGGACUAC